rnacentral:rRNA from 1 species
UACGUAGGGUGCGAGCGUUAAUCGGAAUUACUGGGCGUAAAGCGUGCGCAGGCGGUUCGUUGUGUCGGCGGUGAAAGCCCCGGGCUUAACCUGGGAAUGGCCGUUGAAACUGGCGAACUGGAGUGUGGCAGAGGGGGGUGGAAUUCCUGGUGUAGCGGUGAAAUGCGCAGAUAUCAGGAGGAACACCGGUGGCGAAGGCGGGUCUCUGGGCAACAACUGACGCUGAGGAGCGAAAGCGUGGGGAGCGAACAGG